GGGAGGUAAUGUAAUCGGGAAUUUAAAGCAACGAGCUGUCAGGUAAACUAACCUUAUUUUUGUUUUCGCGUGUUGGAGAGCUCGAUUCUUACGACUUUUAACACAUUUCUCUGAGGUCAACACUUGCCUAUAAAUAUACGAUUGUUUAUGUCCUAACUUAAGGUAAUGAAAGGAGACAAUAUUACGUUCUGAGAUCAGUUUUACGGAUACAAGGAGGACACUCAGGAAGCUUUUUUUCGGUCAAGAUGACCUCUGGUCAGAAAGUAGCCUGCUACCACCUGGGACAAGACUUCGACUGGUGGAGAUGUAAUGUAGAGGGAUGGGUGGGGAGACCGCCUUCUCCCUUCCCGGCGUCCUUUGAACACGCCCACCUGUACAGAGAGUCCAGCGCUGAAGCCAGGGCCUGUGGGCCAGUGACAUUGUGCUGCCAGUCCGCAUGUUGUGGAACCGAAUGUAAGUGUGCGGCCAGUGGUCAAGAGAUGGACGAAGCAACAAGAAGGCUGUACUGGCCAUUAUGUCAAGGGCCAGAGUUGACGCCAAUGCUGGACACAACUGACCUUGGAGACAACAACUUGAACGGACUUACCAACGGCGGGAAGAAAUCCCCGAGACGCUCCCAUAAACGUCCACCAUGGUGUCCGGCAAAAAUGCCCAAUAAAUGGGGUGUGGCUGGACACCCACCACCCUACACCAACUACUGCAAGGAAACCCUGUUCAACACCAGGACAGCUGACCCACAGAAGGUGACCAUCAAGACGACCUUUUAAGGAAUGCGUCGACUAGGGACUUUGAUUCUGGACAUGAUUAUUAUCACGCAACAGUGGUCAUCUUUGAACUUUUAAUUACCUUCCUAUAGAUCUAAUGUUUCUCAACUUAGAAUGUGUUAAAGAACGACCACUCUCGGUGAUUUUAGAUUUAGAAACAAAGAGAAAAAUGUAAUUAAAUUUGAAUUUUAAAACAAAGAAAAAAAAAAGAAGAAAAAAAUAUUUGACCCAUUAUUGAUUUCCUUAUUAAAAAAUUUGAAAUGCGGGGUAUUUUAAUUAUUGCUCUUGUAUGCUUGACCAAAAACAAACAAAGAUACACCAAUAUUUGUACUUUCCUAAGAGUCCAAGUGUUACACUGCGUCAUACUACAGUAAUACAUAACGUGUAUGUAUAUGAAUAACACAAUAAACCUUAUAGACUUUUGUAAUGACAACAAUUAGUUAUUUAAAAUUUCCAGCAUUCAUGUUAUUUUUUUUAUUUAGAUGUUAACUCUUUUUGGAUUUUUUUUUUUUUUUUUUUUUAACUUCAGUCUCACAUUUGAAGGAAAUAAAAUAUUUUAUUGAUAAAAUUUAUUUGAUUGUUUUUUUAUUAUAGUCAAUUGUUGGAGUUCCCACGUUUAAUAAGUAUAUUAUUACAGCUGAUUUCAAAUCAAUUCGGCCAGAAUAAUGCUACAAACGUUUUAAAAAUAAUUUUUAAAAUUGAAUCAACUUACCAAUUUCGGAUUGACAUGAAGAACUGAUAGCUUCCAUUAGAUAAUGGAAUCGAUUGCCUAAGUCAGUCAGGAAAACCAAUGACUAGGCAUAAUUUAAGUGAUUGGUAAUCAUGCAUGUCUAGAUUGACACAGAGACACGUCUAGGAUGUAAUUAUCUUCUCUUUUGAAAUAACGUCUGUUAUCUUUAAGAUAAGAUCUAUUGGACUUAAAGAUUGGACUUAAAGAUUGGACUUAAAGAUUGGACUUAAAGAUUGACUUAAAGAUUGGACUUAUAAAUUGGACUUAAAGAUUGGACUUAAAGAUUGGACAGAUUUUUCUUUCUGUGCUUCGUGAGGGAGAUUCAUAUGACACACACACACACACACACACAUGUAGGUUUCCACAGGCUCAGACAAUGUCAGAUGUAAUAAAUAGAUUAGCACGACAGUAUCCUUAUCCCAAGGCAACAGAACUUAUACUGUAUAGUCAAAUACAAAAAAAUAUUGAUGCACACUCUCUUCUAUUUAAAGCCAAUUAUUAAUCUCAAGCCGAGUCGUUUGCGCGCUAUUUUACUGAAUCUGAACGAAAUGGUUUUAAACUUUAAAAUAAAUGGCGAAUUAGUAGGAAUAACAUCUUAAAGUACUGGCCCACUGGUAGCAAGUAGACAUCAGGAAUCUUCAGACAUGACAAGCAACGGGCAAGGGGUGUUCACGCACCGUAAUGUCAUUUGGCCCCCACACUCUGGAGACAUGUUUGAUUGGUGGGGCUGCUCGCCCGAAGGGGUCGUUUUGAAACCCAGACAACCCGCCCCCGUCCCACUGCCGAGAAAACGACUUCCGCUUCGACGUGACCAACUUUGUUGGCCCCUGUGUAAAGGAGCUACACCCGAAAAUACUCUGGCAGCGACGCUGGACCCAAUGGGUGACUGCGAGGUCAGUCGAGACUACUGGCCCGACAAGAAGAAGAAAGAAAAGUUCCCCGAACACCAGCGACCUCCUUUUGUGCCUACUCUGGCUCCGAACCAAUUUGGGUUGAUCAAGUACCCACCGCCGUACACCUACUACUGCCGGAGAAGAGACACGCCUCUGACCUUCGUUCACAAGAUUUAAAAUGGGACGUAACUCCAAAUUUGAGUUCUAGGCUGAGUAGUAAAAACCGCCCUCAGAGUGAUUUCCCUUGUCCUAAAAUUCUUCGUGUGUUCCAUGGUUAUUACAUUAUCAUUGUCAGUUGAACUAUUUUAGUCGCCACACUAUAGGCCUAUACAGAUCAUAGUUUCGUAACAUCUAAAAAUAGUACAAAUAUAAUAAAGCAUUAAUUAAAUGGAAA